CAUAGGGCUCAGUGACUUUUGGGCUCUAUCUUCUCCUGUCUGUGCAGUGAAACUAAUGUUAAGAAGGUGAUCCCUGAGAACCUGCAAGAACUUAUUACUGGCUUUGUGGCUUGCUUCUACUGAACAGAAUGCAGCAGAAGCAAAGCUACGUGACUUUCCAGACUGGGUCAUAAAAAGCAACACAACGCAUCUGGCUCUCUCUCUAUAUCUUGCCGUGCUCUCUCUUGGAAUCCAGCUGCCAUGCCACAAGGAAGGGCAGGCUGCAAGUCAGGAUUUGGCCAACAUGUGUGCUGUGCUGAAGUCCCAGCUGAUUGCCAGCAUCAGAAGCCAGCUAUUGGAAGAAAUGGAUUAGAAAAUUGAAAAAUCUAAAAGACUGAAUCAAGGUGUGUGAAAAACAGGGUGUUUCCCAAAGAAGCCAGUCUUCUGGGGUUUGGCAAGGGAAUGCGGAUUGCCACCAUCAACCAGAGUGGCCUCUGAGAAUCCUGGGGGAAGAUUGUAAGAAGAGCUCAGAGUCACAGAAGCUGAUAGAGGAUGAUGCAAGUUUGCUGAAUCGCUGCCGUAUAGUCUCAGUUCUCUGAGACGUCGAUUCCUACUGGUGUCUGCUCAACUCCACAGGGAACCACGGAGCUUUCUUAGGCGGUUGGGGACUGUCUCUUUUGUUCAAAAAUGUUCAGCUUUUUACCCUGUCAUAGUGAAUAAUUUAUUUAAUACAGUCAACUACAGUCAGGCAAAAAAAAAAUCAUUUGUGUUUCAUCAAAGCAGAGACAAACUUUCUAUUCAUUCUAGUAAAGAUUUUUU